rnacentral:rRNA from 1 species
GAAGGAAGUAAAGAAGGGCACACGGGGGAUGCCUAGGCUCUCGGAGGCGAAGAAGGACGCGACAAGCUGCGAUAAGCCACGGGGAUCGGCAAAUGCGAAUUGAUCCGUGGGUUUCCGAAUGGGGCAACCUGUCUAUCUGAAGGAUAGACGUAUAAUACGCGAACGCGCUGAACUGAAACAUCUAAGUAGGCGUAGGAGGAGAAAACAACAGUGAUUCCGUGAGUAGUGGCGAGCGAAAGCGGAACAGCCCAAACCGGAUAUGUUACGGCAUAUCCGGGGUUGUAGGACCACGAUAUGGCACAUGUUAGUGAAGUGGAAGCCGGAAGGGAAGCCGGCACCAGAGAGGGUGAAAGUCCCGUACACGUAAGCGACCAUGGCCUAGUGGGAUCCUGAGUACCGCGGGGUCGGAGACGCCCUGUGGGAAUCCGGCGGCACCAUCCGCCAAGGCUAAAUACUCCCGAGAGACCGAUAGUGGACCAGUACCGUGAGGGAAAGGUGAAAAGAACCCCGAACAGGGGAGUGAAAUAGAACCUGAAACCGUGUGCCUACAAGCGGUCGGAGCCCUUCGGGGUGACGGCGUGCCUUUUGCAUAAUGAGCCUACGAGUUACACUUCACCGGCGAGGUUAACCCACUGGAGUGGGGGAGCCGAAGCGAAAGCGAGUCUGAACAGGGCGUGCAGUCGGUGGAGGUAGACGCGAAACCUUGUGAUCUACCCUUGGUCAGGCUGAAGGUGCCGUAACAGGUACUGGAGGGCCGAACCGAUAAGCGUUGAAAAGCUUCCGGAUGAACCGAGGGUAGGGGUGAAAGGCCAAUCAAACUGGGAAAUAGCUCGUACUCCCCGAAAUGUUUUUAGGAACAGCGUUGCGGAGAGUCCUGCGGAGGUAGAGCUACCGAUUGGGUGCGGGGGAGUCACAUCCUACCAAAUCCAGACGAACUCCGAAUGCCGCAGGAUAUACGCAGCAGUGAGGCUUUGGGUGCUAAGGUCCAAGGCCGAGAGGGAAAGAACCCAGACCAUCAGCUAAGGUCCCCAAAUACACGCUAAGUUGGACUAACGAGGUCCGGCUGCUUAGACAGCUAGGAUGUUGGCUUGGAAGCAGCCAUUCAUUUAAAGAGUGCGUAACAGCUCACUAGUCGAGCGGCCGGGCGUGGAUAAUGAACGGGCAUCAAGUGUGUUACCGAAGCUAUGGGAUAUUUAUAUCGGUAGGGGAGCAUUCCAGCGGGGGCGAAUCCCCAUCGCGAGAUGGGGUGGACUUUCUGGAAAAGCAAAUGUAGGCAUAAGUAACGAUAAGGCGGGUGAGAAACCCGCCCACCGAAAGACCAAGGUUUCCUGAUCAACGCUAAUCGGAUCAGGGUCAGUCGGGGCCUAAGGAUAAGCCGAAGGGCGAUUCCGAUGGACAACGGGUUAAUAUUCCCGUACUUUUGGUUGCUGCGAUGCGGGGACGGAGAAGUGACACCACCGCGCACUGACGGAAUAGUGCGUUGAAGGGUUUAGGUAUACGGGAGGCAGGCAAAUCCGCCACCUGUGCUGAAGCCCGACAGUACGGCAAACCUUCGGGGGCGCCGAUAGCGUGGGUAAUCAUGCUUCCGAGAAAAACCGCUAAGCUCCAGGCAACCAGAACCCGUACCGCAAACCGACACAGGUGGUUGGGGUGAGAAUCCUAAGGUGCUCGAGUGAAUCAUGGCUAAGGAACUCGGCAAAAUGGCCCUGUAACUUCGGGAGAAGGGGCGCUGGCGUGAGCCAGCCGCAGUGAAAAGGCCCAGGCGACUGUUUAACAAAAACACAUGGCUUUGCGAAAUCGAAAGAUGAAGUAUAAGGCCUGACACCUGCCCGGUGCUGGAAGGUUAAGGGGGGAUGUUAGUCAGCAAUGGCGAAGCAUUGAACCGAAGCCCCAGUAAACGGCGGCCGUAACUAUAACGGUCCUAAGGUAGCGAAAUUCCUUGUCGGGUAAGUUCCGACCUGCACGAAUGGUGUAACGAUCUGGGCGCUGUCUCAGCCAUGAGCUCGGUGAAAUUGUGGUAUCGGUGAAGACGCCGGUUACCCGCAACGGGACGGAAAGACCCCAUGAACCUUCACUACAGCUUAACAUUGGGACUGGGUGCGUGAUGUGUAGGAUAGGCGGGAGGCUGCGAAGCGGGUUCGCCAGGACUCGUGGAGCCAUCCUUGAAAUACCGCCCUUUGCGUAUCCGGUUCCUAACCCCGCAUGGCGGGGGACAUUGUUUGGUGGGUAGUUUGACUGGGGUGGUCGCCUCCAAAAAGGUAACGGAGGCUUUCAAAGGUAAGCUCAGUACGCUUGGUAACCGUACGGGGAGUGCAAUGGCACAAGCUUGCUUGACUGUGAGGCCGACAAGCCGAACAGGGUCGAAAGACGGACAUAGUGAUCCGGUGGUUCUGCAUGGAAGGGCCAUCGCUCAAAGGAUAAAAGGUACUCUGGGGAUAACAGGCUGAUCUCCCCCAAGAGCUCAUAUCGACGGGGAGGUUUGGCACCUCGAUGUCGGCUCGUCACAUCCUGGGGCUGGAGAAGGUCCCAAGGGUUCGGCUGUUCGCCGAUUAAAGUGGCACGCGAGCUGGGUUCAGAACGUCGCGAGACAGUUCGGUCCCUAUCUGUUGCGGGCGUAGGAACAUUGAGUGGGGCUGGCCUUAGUACGAGAGGACCGGGCUGGACCGACCGCUGGUGUACCAGUUAUGCCGCCAGGUGUACUGCUGGGUAGCUAAGUCGGGUCAGGAUAAGCGCUGAAAGCAUCUAAGUGCGAAACCUGCCACGAGAUGAUUGUUCCAUAGAGGGUCCCCGUAGACUACGGGGUUGAUAGGCCGCAGGUCUAAAGGUGGCGACACCAAAGCCGAGCGGUACUAAUAGCCCGAAAGCUUCCGU